rnacentral:tRNA from 1 species
GCCGGGGCGUAGCUCAGUUGGUAGAGCACUUGCCCUCGAAAGGCAAAGGUCCCGAGUUCGAGUCUUGGUCCGGCA